rnacentral:sRNA from 2 species
GGAAUGUGCUUCUAGGGUUCCGAUUCGGUAAAUUAACAACCGAGUGGCUGGUCCAAGAGAAGCAGCCAGCUUGAGAUUCUGAGUGCCGGAAUACGAGUUGGUCACACGGCGGGAAAAAAGCCCGGGAGAG